UUUUUCUUGAGACCUGGUCUGGCUCUGUGGCUCAGGCUCGAGUGCAAGUGGCGUGAUUACCGCUUAUUGCAGCCUCAGCCUCCUCUAGCCUUAGCCUCUCCGGUACCUGGGACCACGAGCUGGCGCCACCACCUCCGUCUACGUUUUUUGUAUUUUUAGCAGAGACUGGGAUCUUGCCAUGUUGGCUAGGCUGCUCUUGAACUCCUGAGAUCAAGCGAUCCGCCCGCCUCGGCCUCCCAAAGUGCCGGGACUGCAGGCAUGAGCCAUUGUGCCGGGCGCUCAGCCUCUUUUGGCGCCUACUUUCGCCUUUCCGGGGCCAGGCAUGUGCAGCGUGUUGGAGAAGGGUCCCGCCCUCUACGGGAAGUCCUCGCUGCCAAGGUCACAGGCGCGGAGAACAGGAGAACCGAGCAUGAAAAUACACAUGAACUCUUAAGAAAAAACAUUUCUAGCAAUCAGCAAAUACUAAGAACUUAUUGAGCUCUGUGCCUGAUGAUAUAGAAGGUAAGAAUUAAAUUGUCCUGUUCUUGCUUUUAUUUGUUUAAGUUUUAACAUCUUGGAUACUAGUGUUUUUGCUUUUUAGAGAGCUUACUGCCAAGCUGAGGGGUAAGUCAGACAUUACACAUUUUCAGAAAAGAAAACAUAUGCAGAAGUUGCAUGUAACUGGAAACAAACAAAAAGAAUAUUUGAGAAUGGGAAAGUUUGAUUAAAUCACACAGCAAUGAAAUCGAAGACUAAUAUAAAAAUAGCACGUUUCCAAUCAAUCCUUGUCUGAAAUAAAUGUAUAUUGUGCACCUGUUAGGAACCCUAUACUGUACUAAAAACUAAAUUAAAAGCAACCACAUUAAGCCCUCGAGGCAAAGUCAGAACAAACCCUCCUGAUGCCUGGGGGACAGAGCUCCUUCACCUUCUGUUUCAGACAUCAAGUCCCUGUGCUGUUCACAAUAAGCUACUUUCAAUUCAUGGACAUUGGAUCAAUGCCUUUGAUGUGAAGUCAUCCAUGUUAGGGUACAAUUUCAUGAGGCAACAAAUGGAGUUAAGCUCCCUAUGCCUCCAUUCUGAGAAAUAUUGCAUCCACAGAGUAAAAGCAUAUUAGAAGGCUGCAGGCUGCACUUUCUUCUAUACUUUUUUUUUUUUUUGAGACAGAGUCUCACUCUGUUGCCCAGGCUGGAGUGCAGUGGGGCUAUCUACAAAUUAAACAACAAUAUUAGCUGGGCACAGUGGUGCGUGCCUGUAAUCCCAGCUACUCAGGAGCCUGAGGCAGGAGAAAUUGCCUGAACCCGGGAGGCGGAGGUUGCGGUGAGCCAAGAUCGCGCCAUUGCACUCCAGCCUGUGUAAUAAGAGUGAAACUCCAUCUCAAAAAAAAAAGAAAAAGAAAAAAAAAAGAAAGAAAGAAAAAUAAAAUUGGCCAGGUGUGGUGGCUCACACCUAUAAUACC
rnacentral:lncRNA from 1 species